rnacentral:rRNA from 1 species
GACGAACGCUGGCGGCGUGCUUAACACAUGCAAGUCGAACGGAAAGGCCCUGCUUGCAGGGUACUCGAGUGGCGAACGGGUGAGUAACACGUGGGUGAUCUGCCCUGCACUUCGGGAUAAGCCUGGGAAACUGGGUCUAAUACCGGAUAGGAGCCAUUUUUAGUGUGAUGGUUGGAAAGUUUUUUCGGUGUAGGAUGAGCUCGCGGCCUAUCAGCUUGUUGGUGGGGUAAUGGCCUACCAAGGCGGCGACGGGUAGCCGGCCUGAGAGGGUGGACGGCCAAAUUGGGACUGGAGACCGGCCCAACCCCCCACGGGGGGCAGGAGGGGGGAAUAUUGCAAAAGGGGCGCAACCCUUAGUCAGCGACGCCGGGGGGGGGGUGACGGCCUUCGGGUUGUAAACCCCUUUCGCCAGGGACGAAGCUUUUUGGGACGGUACCGAGAUAAGAAGCACCGGCCAACUCCGU